rfam:Pan troglodytes isolate Yerkes chimp pedigree #C0471 (Clint) chromosome 8, whole genome shotgun sequence.
AUAGGUGAUAGAAAUUUUCACCCUGGCAUAAUAGACAUAAUACCCUAAGGGAAAGAUGAAAGAACUGAAUACAGCAUUAAAAAGCAAAGACAAACCCUUAUACCUUCUGCAUAAUGUAUUAACCAGAAAUAACUUUACACAGAGAACCAUAGCCAAGUUCCCCAAAACCAGAUGAGCUACUCAAUAACAGCUAAAACAGCACACCCGUCUAUGUAGCAAAAUAGUGGGAAGAUUCAUGAGUAAUGGUGACAAGCCUACCAAGCCUGGUAACAGCUGAUUUUUUUCAACUUUAAACUUACCCACAGACUUACUUAAUCUCCCUGUAACUUUAAGUGUUAGUCUAAAGAGGGACAGCUCUUUAGACAUUAGGAAACAACUGUCCUACAGGGAAUAAAAAAUAUCACCACCAUAGUUGGCAUAGAUGGCCCAAAAGCAGCCACCAAUUAAGAAAGCGUUCAAGCUCAACAUCUAAUUAUCUAAAAUUCUAAUCAUCCUACUGAACUUCUAACAUCACAUUGGACUAAUCUAUUACUUAAUAGAACCAGUAAUGUUAAUAUAAGUAACAUGAAGAUAUUCUCCAUUGCAUAAGCUUAUAUCAGACCCCAAUAAUCCACUGACAGUUAACAGCCUAAUAUUAAUAAGCAAUAUAAUAAACACCCUAUUAUUUAUACUGUUAAUCCAACACAGGUAUGCUCUAAGGAAAGAUUACAAAAACUAAAAGGAACUCUGCAAGUCUUACCCUGCCUGUUUACCAAAAACAUCACCUCUAGCAUUACGAGUAUUAGAGUCACUGCCUGCCCAGUGACAUAUGUUCAAUGGCCACAGUAUCCUGACAGUGCAAAGGUAGAAUAAUCACUUGUUCUGCAAAUAGGGACUUGUAUGAAUGGCCACAUGAGUGUUCAGCUGUCUCUCACUUUUAAUUAAUGAAAUUGACCUAUCUGUGAAGAGGUGGAUAUAAACAAAUAAGAUGAGAAGACCCUAUGGAGCUUUAAUUCAUUAUUGCAAAUAAAAACUCAAAAAAGCUGACAGGCUCUAACAUACUAUCCCUGCAUUAAAAUUUUUGGUUGGGUUGACCUUGGAGCAUAAUUCAAUCUCCAAACAACCCAAACUAAGAUGGCACUAGUCUAAGCGAGUUGACACACAUUGACCCAAUAAUUUGAUCAACAGAAUAAGUUACCCUAGCGAUAACAGCACAAUCCUAUUCUGGAGUCCAUAUUGACAAUAGGGUUUAUGACCUCGAUGUUGGAUCAGGGCAUCCUAAUGGUGUAGCCGCUAUUAAGGGUUCACUUGUUCAAGGAUUCAAGUCCUCCGUGAUAUGAGUUCAGACCAGAGUAACCCAGGUCGGUUUCUAUCUAUUUAACAUUUCUCCUAGUA